CGUCUCCCAUACUCCCGUUACCUUCUCGUAUGCCCUCUCCUUCCGGGUCAUCUCUCCAACUCUUGGGCGAGCGCGCGGUGCGCCAAUGGAGACUUGGACUAGGGCUUCGCUUUCCCUCUCCUCCCCAUCUCCGCGGCAUGCUCAAUUCGGCUUGAAAGAUGUCACGACAGAUGAACCGAUGAUGCCUGGUGGCGGGGGCGGUGCCGACUGAAAGCAGCGUGGCACGGAGGUUCUGAUUUGUGUGUCAGCAUACAGUGAAAUAGUUCUUGAUUGAGGUCCCAAAAUAGGGUUGACAAAUCUGGCACUCCCUCCUUCCAAAUAUAUAAGGCCAACACACAAUUUUAUGCUCCCUCCAUCCCAUAUUAAGUGACUCAAAUUUGUCUAAAUAUGAAUGUAUCUAUAUACUAAAAUACGUCUAGGUACAUGUAAUAUUUUGGCACUUAAUAUGGGACGGAGGGAGUACCAAACUUUGACCAAUUGUUAGAUAAAGUUAUACCAUUAAAAAUAUUUUUCAAUGUGAAUCCAAUGGUAUCACUUUUGCAUUGCACUAACCUCAUACUACUAGUCUAAUAGCUAAUCAUUGUUGGCAUAGAAUUCCACGUCGGCCUUAUAUAUUUGAAGGAGAGAGUAAACAACUAACUAGUUUGGAAGUGUGGUGUGGUCUAGUCAGUGGUUUGCAGCCAAAUCAGGCAAUCACCUUCAACUGAAAGGUUAGUAAAGUACUCCCUCAUUCCCAAAUUAAAUGUAGUUUUAGGAUUUUUUAUCUUUCCCAGAAAAAAUGUUGUAUUAGGCAGUCGAGGCCAACCAGCCCUUAACGCUAAUUAAGACUACAAAGAAAAAGGCCUUCCGACUGCAUGCAGUGGCUCAGAGUCCUGCAUGCAGGAGCGUUCACACCUCUGCAUGCCAACCGAGGCGACCUUUUGCCUUCCACCUACCGAUAUUUCUCCUUGGUAAACGUCCAGCAGCCACCGAAUAAAUCUCCUUGGUAUUAGAGAUAGAACUAAGACGACGUUUAAAUUGAAACGGAGGGAGUACUGAAAUCAUGCGGUCAAAGAUAAGGAGGCAUCUAAAUAAUAGGAGAAUAUUAUUGAUAAAGAUGUCAUAAUCAGCUCAGUCUUGCUGAACUACAAGGAAUGUAAAUAAAACAGCAUAGAUAAUAUGCGCACAAUUUGCUAUUUUCAGGCCCGAGUUAAGUUCUGCAUCCCAGUUACCACUUACCAGGUAGAAAUAAGCUGUUGCAGUCACAUGAAAAUGUCAAUCUUAUUCAGCAGCACAAGUAUCGAUCAUGUUGCCCUAUCCUUGAAUAGAAUAGACAUAAACAAGCAAACAAACCUUUCACGAGCUUGACGUAUUAUCCUUUUAAUAGGGAAAUUAACGCCAAUUAUUAGUCAAAUCUGACGAACAGUCAUACCGUUUAUACUAUAGGAGGCAGAAAGCUACUUCAGGGUAAACCAAGAGUGAUCUACAUUGAACUCCCAUAUCAUGCUGAUCUGAUGGUAUUGUACAAAUAGUUACAUUAACAGUAAAAUGGCUAAAGGUGAUACAAGUGUAGGGGACAUAUUGUUUGGAGAGGUUUUUGCGUCGGAAGUACUGCAAUGAGGAUAAUGACAAGCAAUAUGAUCAUAUUGUUGUUCAUGUUUGUCUUUACGUGCCUGUUAUGGCUUGCCUGAGCAUCAAGGGAUUUUGACCUGAUCGAUUAAUUGUGAUUUUCGAACUACAUGGGUCCUGUUCCUUGAUUUGCAAACCCAAAUUGCUAUCGUUGCCUCUCUUUUUUUCUGCAGAUUGUUGCUACAGUUUUGUUUGAUUGGCAUGCCUUGACAUAUGUGUACAGCUUUAUGGUUGAGAUCAAUUAAUAAAGUGAAUAUGAACUGUCACAAAAUUUGUGUCCUAUGUCAUGGACGUGGACCCUGCCCCUAGGGCAAGAACGGAGUUACAACUGUUCAAGUGUACUAUAGCGCAUGGUACUCAGCACAAUACAUCCUGAUCUGAUUUAAUCAAAUCAAGAGAUAAGGAUCUUAUUUAGGAAGUUAAAGAUAGAGGUAGAAACAGUUAGAGGGAAGAGUAGUUUCCUUCCAAUUAAAGAUUGUUAUGGAUUAGUUCUUAGGCUUCAUGCCCAGUCUUUUGUAUACUCCCUUAUUCCUUAAUAUAAGGCAUAUUAAGUUUCAUUAAGAUAAGGCUUUGAUCACAAAUUACUAUGUUACGAUAUGGUUUAUAUGACAUGAAAUUAGUAUCGCUAGAUUCGUUAUCAAAAGUACUUCAUAAUUGUUGUGGAUUCAUAUCUGAUUAAUUCUUGGUCAAACCUAACAAAACUUAAUAUGACUUAUAUUAAGGAAUGGAGGGAGUAAUGGAGACACCAUGUACUGAUUUAUAAGUUAUAACUAAGCAAUGACGAAACCUCUCUUACCAUGCUACAUAUUAAGCCUUGCCGGCGGGCAGACGAGGGCAAGUGCCCUAUCCAUAAUUUGUCCGAUUCUUUGCAGGAACUACCUGUAAUAAGGAACAUGCAAAAUGGAUCUGCUUAUCAUAAAGAGAUUCGUUGUUCCUCACCCUGCUUCACCUUAAUUGUUAUUUGAACAAAAAGAUCACAAUAAACUUUUGGUAAAAAUUCUGUCUUGGUCGCAGUGGGGAUUGCGGUCUUCAGACCUUCUUCAAGUGUUCUUCACAAUAUAUUUCCUGCCGUGAAACGAAAACCGGUUGCUAACUCUGUUACUACUAUUGGUCGGGUACAAGGUUUGCUGAUCAACCUUCAAAUCAUGGUUUGCUUAUACUAAUAUUGCUUUCAUGAUCAAUUCCUUGAUUCCUGGUGCACUAUAUGUCAUGACUUAUAAACACAUGAUGUGUGGUGGCGGUGGCGAUGCUGACUGAAAACAGCGUGGCACGGUGCGAUGUUGACAUCCCGUGGAAAUUCUUUCUUUGCAAGGCAGGCAUGCUACUGCACCAUGUUCCCUCACCCUUUGCAGCAUAUCAUGCAUGCCGUACCGUCCUUGAUCUCUUCUCUUAAAUGUGCUUAAUUAGUAACCCUGCUAUGUAUUAGAUACCUAGAAAACUUAAGAAUGAAGAUAGCUUUCCAUCGGAGAUUACUGCAGAGAACAGCGAUGGCUACACCUGACCUGGAAGAGAAAGGGACUAGCCUGGAGCCAUCGGGAGAGAGCACUUCAGUCUCACCGGGAGCAUGUUAGUCCUCUAGCUCUGCCACACAUGGACGGACUGGGCUCGCCGACGCAUGACACGGCGGUUUACUCUUUAAUUUCCUAUACAUAAUUCAGAGUGAUUUGCUCCUUGAUAGCGACGGCCAUGGACUCUCUUCCGGAGCUCCCAACGGCUGCAAAACCUUGUGAGCUUGUCGGGUGACAACUACAUCUGCCGGUGCAGUUUCAGUAGUACUACACCUCACAAGAUCUACAGUUGGAGUGGUGGAUUCUUGUGGCUUUAAUUUCCUGUUUCUUUGGACUCUUAUGCUUGAGACUCGAUUUGCUGGUUGUUGCUUUCUUGUGGAGGUCACCGAUGGGCACUAAAAUGGCUAGUCAGGAAUGAGGAUACAGUUUCUGGUAGCUAAAGAAAACCGGUUUUUGUGUGACAGCUCCUUUAACCUGCCCAGAGUGUCAGAGUAGACAUUUGAGAUUGCUUGAUUGUGUUUAGCUGAACUUGCCUUAUAAUUUGCUUUGAGAAAACGGGCACAAAAACAGGAGAUAUCUGGGAUUAUCAUAAUCCACUGCAAUAACAAAUGCAGUUUUAAGUACGGUGAAAUUCCAUUAUGAGAUUUCUUUGUGAAAGGCUAGGUUAAAUUCCAUUAUGGGAUUUCUUUGGGAAAGAAUAGCCAUCGAGUAGUUUGUCAUGAUAUUUAAUUGCUUAGAGUUCAUAUGUUGUUUGUUUAGAAUAUCUGUGCUUAUAUUUUGCUAGUAUUUUUUUAUAUUCCAAUCCAGAAAAAAUAAAGCGGGAAGAAACACCAGUGGUACUCCCUCUAUUCGGGAUUAGAAAACCUUUAUCCAUAAUUUAGAAGUUCAAGAUUAGAAGGUCCCUCUCCAAAUGUCCCUUUUAGCUCUGUCCACUAUUUAUUUAUUUUUACUCCAAAAUGGAUUUCCUUGAAUUCGAUAAUUUUGCCUCACAGGUGUUUUGCUUUGGUACCUGAGUUUUAUCUUGGUACCUGUUUUUUCAACAUUAAAUACAUUCAUCUUUUUUUACCACUACAUGCUUUGGUGGCCAUUUUUCAAAAGUGAUCCUGUAAAUCUGAGUGGGUUGAGUUAACACGACUGUUAUUCUAAUGUUUUCCUACUAUCUGCCUGAUGUUGCCAUUUCCUUAUUCUGUCCGGCUUUUCGUGUGUCUGUAUCCUCUGCCACGCUGUAUUUCUUUACGGAGAGAUCAGCCAUCAGCGUUGUCUUUCGCACUUUUUUUUAACACAAAAACCAGAUAUAUUAUGAAGCACGUCUUACGAUGUGAUGGCGCGAUGCUAUAGAUCGAUGUUGAUUGUGCAUGGUCUUUACACCUACUGACCUGGGUUGUGAAUUAAGUAGGUUUCUGAGCACAAGACCUAACUGAAUUGAUGGUUAACGUCAUGGGUGUGUACUACAAGUCUACAACCAUGAUUUUUGCUUAUAGUGCCAUUUGAGCUAUACUUUUUGCACAUGAUGGAUCUACGACUUAGGCAUAGAGGUAGUAGUUAAUUGUGUGCGUAGAAACGUUACUACUACCUAAAAAUUCAGCUAGACAAAGUGGUUAUAGCACGGUCUCGGAUGUUGUGUUUGAAAUGUGGAGGUCGUAUUCGAGACAGUUUAACCAUUUUGAACAAACAAUAUGGGCUAUAUUUUAUUUUAAAUGCCUGAAAAGGAAAUCUUGUCAUGUAUGAGUUUUGAUGAAUGAUGACAACUUGGUUGAGGUAUUAAUGAACUACAUGAAAUGUUUCAGGUUUUAGUUUCUCGGAACAAUUGGUUUAACCAGCGGUAGUGACCCCUCAAAAUUGAAGAGUAGAUAUGGGUUUUAAGCACGUAGGAUAAUGAAGAUUAAGGAUGCUUCCUAAACUUACCGAAGCUUUGUCUUCAUUUGAUUAUAUGACAAGUCGAACUAUUAAGGGGGAUUUGAAGUGUGAAGCUGGUCAGGGCGAAACCAUGUUUUUCAUGUUCAUCGUAGGUGAAAAGCAAUUUUUAUGUGUGUUAAGAAUGAAGCAUUUCAUGUUUCUUAAGGUCUUUAAAAACCAAGUCUUCAACCAGAGUUCAACUGUGUUUGAAAAUUUAUUUGCCGCGUUGUGACUUGACCACGUGGACUAUCCGUUUUGACUCAGUUGAAAAACCUGAGACAAAGGAGUCUCAAAGGUUGCUUUUUCAACGGCUAGCCCCACGAGGUCUCGACUACAUAAGUCGACCCAGCCCCGAUGUGAUCCGGUGGUGAUUACCUGGAAAACGUUUUGAAGAAAACCUUAGAGCUGAACUGAUCGUGAAGAAUUAUAGAAUUCCUAUCCUAGUCGAGCACUUGAAGCUUGUUGUUCUUAGUGAUUGGUAUCACCUUCUUAUCUAAUCACCCAGGACGCAAUCCUGGGCAUGAGGAGUAAAAAUUCACUUUUUUUUCAUUUUUUCUUACAAAUUGGAUUUGUUUCUUACAUUUAUCUAUGAGAAAAAUCGUGGGUUCAGAAUUCCUACCAAUUUGAAUGUCCUAAAUGAUACGAGGUAGCGUAAAGAGAGGGAUUCGAACCAUCGCUACAAAAAAAAAAUGUACAACGGACCGCGACUUUAGUUCACUCAGCCAUCUCUCUCCGUUCCAAAUUCUUGGUGAUUGGCAUCACCUAGACGGUUAGAAAUCAGUGUUGAAGAGCAAUCGAAACUUGUGAUUUGUCAACAACCAGUCUGUGAAGGUUCGGAGAUCACCUCAAGAUCUAGCAUGAGUAACUGGGCGAGAUUUUGGUCUUAACAUAGGAGGAUUGGGUGAACUUGUGUGUACGUGAGUCUUGCGUGACUCGGCCCCCUCAACGGAGACCUAUGAUCGUGCCAACGAUCUGAACUUCGGGAGACAAAUUGCCGUGUCUUCGUCUCUCCAGUGAACUCGUUCCUCUGCAUAGCUUGUCCCAAAACUCUUCUGCUAAUUGCUUCCGAACUUGUCUAUUUUACUUCUUUACUUUCCUGUGUUUUGUGUUCUUCAUUCCGCCGCUAUUCUGAACAUAUGUUAAAACUUGCGAAGAACUUAACUUGUUAAGAGAAGACUUCGGACUGGAAAGCUUCGGUCUUCAGUCUUCAUAAUUUUGAAGAAUCUUAAAACUGGGCAUCGACAACACUAGGGAGAGGUGUGAUGAGGACAUCCCUACUUCUUUAUCAUCAACUCCAAUUGAUGAUGUUGCUGCACAAGACAAGGCCAAUGAAGUUAGACUUGGGCCAAUAACAAGAGCACGUGCGACGCUACUUGAACAACAGGUGAACUCACUCUUAAUUGAAUCUGAUGUUUUAAUUGAUGAGAGCUUUAUACUACCUAAGUCUAUGCAUUUAUGUAUGAUCAGAUUUGAAGAUGUUUCAAGCCUUGCACGUGGAGGAGGAGAGUUGCAGCAAGAUCCAUUCCCGUUGAUUUCCAAUAUAAAGAAGAGCGCGAGGGAGGAGAGGGAGGCCGGCGCACCACAUGAAGAGGAGGAAAUAAAACAGCAAUAGAAGUUGUCGUGGCUGAUGCUAGGACAAGUCCUACGACACGUCAAACAUGUCUAAGGCAUCAGCGCACGUCGAGGAGCAUGUGACACACAUAGGGCUGCCUACGACAUGGUUUAUUUGCCUAAGUGUGAGUUGGGCCUGCGUGCUCAUAGUUUGGGCUGAACCCAACAUUUUGGGUCAGUUUGUAUCAAGUUUGGGUUGAACCAAGUUCGAGUCCGAGUCCAAUUAGGUUGCUGGACGUCCACCCUCCUAUAUAAGUUGAGGGGCGCCCACGAUUAGGGUUAGACCACGUUUAGAUUAUUCAGAACCUUUUGUUGAAGUGCUACAAGCAUUCAUCUAAAAUUAUAUUCCUCUUUGAUUCGAUCA